rnacentral:rRNA from 1 species
UACGUAGGGUGCGAGCGUUGUCCGGAAUUAUUGGGCGUAAAGAGCUUGUAGGCGGUUUGUCGCGUCUGCUGUGAAAAUCCGGGGCUCAACUCCGGACUUGCAGUGGGUACGGGCAGGCUAGAGUGUGGUAGGGGAGACUGGAAUUCCUGGUGUAGCGGUGGAAUGCGCAGAUAUCAGGAGGAACACCGAUGGCGAAGGCAGGUCACUGGGCCGCAACUGACGCUGAGGAGCGAAAGCAUGGGAGCGAACAGG